rnacentral:rRNA from 1 species
UUCCGUAGGUGAACCUGCGGAAGGAUCAUUCGCACAAAGAUAUGUUCUAUUCCACCCGCCACGCACCAUACAGUGCUUUCCGUUUUAUCAUCAGGAAAUUUAAUUUCCAACUCGUCGAUGUUGCGAUCUCAUUGCAAUGUAUGCGAUGUUAUCUAUCUCUUGCGACGACGAAUGCCUUGGCUCGAGGAUCGUUGAAGGACGCAGCGAACUGUGCUAAACAUCUCGAAUUGCAGAUUUCCGAGAAAGAAAAGGAUUCUGAACGCAUUCUGCGAGUUGAACUUGUUUCAGCUCACGUGAUUGACGGUGACCGAAAUAUGCAGUCGCUCGAACUCCGAAGUUCAAGUGGUGUUCACAUGUUGUCGCAAAGUUUUGCGCCGACGUGUUCGUGGAAUUCAGCGCGUCUCUCGUUUUCGAGUUGCAUUAUGAAUUCAUUUCAUUGUGUUCGAUUUCAUUGACGUGUCUCAGUUUUUCAUUUUUUGAAAACAUUUUUUUCCGCACGCUCACGAUCAGUCACGGGAUUACCCGCUGAAUUUAAGCAUAUCAAU